UGGGGAAUAUUGGACAAUGGGCGCAAGCCUGAUCCAGCCAUGCCGCGUAAGUGAUGAAGGCCUUAGGGUUGUAAAGCUCUUUUCAGUGGGGAAGAUAAUGACGGUACCCACAGAAGAAGCCCCGCUAACUUCGUGCCAGCAGCCGCGGUAAUACGAAGGGGGCUAGCGUUGUUCGGAUUUACUGGGCGUAAAGCGCACGUAGGCGGAUCGUUAAGUCAGGGGUGAAAUCCCAGAGCUCAACUCUGGAACUGCCUUUGAUACUGGCGAUCUCGAGUCCGGAAGAGGUNAGUGGAACUCCUAGUGUAGAGGUGGAAUUCGUAGAUAUUAGGAAGAACACCAGUGGCGAAGGCGGCUCACUGGUCCGGAACUGACGCUGAGGUGCGAAAGCGUGGGGGAGCAAACAGGAUUAGAUACCCUGGUAGUCCACGCCGUAAACUAUGAGAGCUAGCCGUUGGAUGGUUUACCAUUCAGUGGCGCAGCUAACGCAUUAAGCUCUCCGCCUGGGGAGUACGGUCGC
rnacentral:rRNA from 1 species